UACGUAGGGUGCAAGCGUUGUCCGGAAUUAUGGGGCGUAAAGAGCUUGUAGGCGGUUUGUCGGGUCUGCUGUGAAAUUUCGGGGCUCAACCCCGAACUUGCAGUGGGUACGGGCAGACUAGAGUGUGGUAGGGGAGACUGGAAUUCCUGGUGUAGCGGUGAAAUGCGCAGAUAUCAGGAGGAACACCGAUGGCGAAGGCAGGUCUCUGGGCCAUAACUGACGCUGAGAAGCGAAAGCAUGGGGAGCGAACAGG
rnacentral:rRNA from 1 species